AACGCUGGCGGCGUGCCUAAUACAUGCAAGUCGGACGGAAGUAGUAAUACUUUAGUGGCGACCGGGUGCGUAACACGUAGCUAACCUGCCCUGUCGCGGGGAACAACUGUUGGAAACGACAGCUAAUACCGCAUGACAUCAGCGCAAAUAAAUAGUGCUGAUUAAACUUACGGGGCGACAGGAGGGGGCUGCGGCCCAUCAGGUAGUUGGAGCGGUAAAAGCGCACCAAGCCAAUGACGGGUAGGGGACCUGAGAGGGUGGUCCCCCACACUGGGACUGACAACGGCCCAGACUCCUACGGGAGGCAGCAGUAAGGGAUAUUGCGCAAUGGGCGAAAGCCUGACGCAGCAACGCCGCGUGGAGGAUGAAGGCCUUCGGGUCGUAAACUUCUUUUAGCAGGGACGAGGAAGGACGGUACCUGCGGAAUCGGUCACGGCUAACUACGUGCCAGCAGCCGCGGUAAAACGUAGGUGGCAAGCGUUAUCCGGAUUUACUGGGCGUAAAGGGUGUGCAGGCGGGUUUGCAAGUGGUGUAUGAAAUCUCCCGGCUUAACCGGGAGGGGUUAUGCCAGACUGCAAAUCUAGAGGACGGGAGAGGGGGGUGGAAUUCCCGGGUGUAGUGGUGAAAUGC
rnacentral:rRNA from 1 species